GUCCACGGCGACUCAGCAGAGCCUGGUCUGGACCUGAGACUCUGACGACAAGCCAGCGCUCGUGACCUCCACGCCAGGAGGACGACGGGGAGGAGGGACAGAGCAGAGGAGGGACGCUGAGGCAGAGGUGGCCCUGGAGGAGGGGCUGACACUCGGCCAGGCGGGGGGUGGGGCCCAAGCCCAGAGGGGUAGCGUGGCGGCUCCCCGUCGAGGGCCUGGACCCCAAGGCGGGUGGAGCUACUUACGGGUAGCAGGAGUAGGCAUAGUGGUCUCUCCUGGCAGCGUGCAAAGAGAACAGCACAGUCGGCCCCCGUCCUGCCACAGGCCCGGCGAGGGCAGCGCCCAGCCCGCAGGGAGGGCCCUGGUGCUUUCCGUGCUGGGGAGGGGGCUGGCCAGGGACCCGACAGGUCAGAAGGGCCCUCCUCGUCCCAAGGGCCAGCUGGGCUCAGUCAUUGAGGACCAGGACCCAAGGCCCCUUCCAGAAUCUUCCUGAAGGCAGGCUGCUGGAGGGGGCAAAGCAGGAGGAGGCAGAGCUUUCACAGACACACACACACUUCAUACGCACUCACUAAUGCAGAUGUAGACAUGAGGCGCACACACAUUCAAACACACUUAUACAUUGACACACACAGAUAUAUAUUCACAAACACACACACAGGUGUGCACACUCACACACUCAAGGUCACGCCCUCCCCUAGGGCUGCACUCACCCUGCACACGGCCCCCACCCUCAGUGCCAAUGCCACUCACACCCACAGGCCCGUUGGCCCUGAGGGGACAGCCCUGCGUAUUCACCUGUGCCUGAGAGGGACCGUGGCUGGGGCGGGGAGGGGCGGGGGAGGGGCAGGGAGGUGAGGACUCCAGCUGGACGCCAGGGUGAACCUGGGCUGCCCUCACCACCCAGGAUGCCCUGGGAGUGGGGUCCAUUAAAGAGGCAGCCCACCUCCUCGUGUGCACCCAGCGCAUGCGUGGGUCAGGAGCUCUGGGUUACCGCUGUGCACCCCCAGAGAGGUGGCCGAGCAGGUCUGGUCCCACGGCACAGGUGGGGAAGCUGAGGCCUGGAAAGUCAUGGUCAGCCCAGGACUCUGGGGGUCAGCAGUGGAGCCCAGAGCAGGACCAGGACCCCAACUCCAGAGCCAGCUCCCUCCUGAGGCCCCAUCCAGGCCCAUCCAGGGGUCCCUGAGCCACCGCCCCCACAUCACCCGGCAGCAGGGACCCGAUUGAGGGAAGGCAAGCAGAGUGGGGAGUGGAAGACCGAGGCCCAGCCAGGGCAGGAGACUGGCUGGAGUCACACAGCACAUUGAUCCAGGGCCCUGCAGCUGGUCACAGAGGCCUCAAAGGGGCAGGACAGCUGAAGGAAUGGCAUUCUUCUGGUCUCAGCUGAAAUCCAUGACUUCUGAGGGCCUUCCUGACUGCUCCCCGAUAAUCGCCACCACAUCAUGUCCCCCUUUACCCUCUCUGUGCCCCCACCCCAGCACCCCAUCCUUUCCAUAAUUUGUAAUUAUCCAUUUGGGCUUUUUCUGGUUUAAUCCCGGGCUCCCCGCAAGCCACUAAGCCCCAGAGGGCAGCAUCCUGGGUUGUCUGCCCACCGCUGGGUCCUGGGGCCAGGACAGUGCCCAGCACAUUAUGAUCCCUCGAGAAACAGUUCAUUGAAUUGAGUGAUCAAUAAAGGAGGGAAAAUAAAUAAAAGAACGCCACCCCCAGGAGCCUCUAUUCCCUCCUCUAAACAAGUGAGGAUGAUAAUAACCCCCAGGGGCCGCAGGAGGCUGAAGGGACGGGAAGCACAUGCUCAGGUCCUCCCUGCCUCCUCCGCCUACAGAGUUGGGCAUGGGGGGCUCGGGAGGACCCGACUCCCCGGGGCCAGACCCUGGGGAGACACAGCCUACAAGACAGACCCUCCUCUGCUCUCAUGGAGCGCUCCGUCCGGCAGGGAAGAGAAACACUGAGUACAGCGCUACAGGUACUUAAAAGAAAAAGCAGGGAGAAGAUGACGCUGCCAAGAAGGGCGGACUCCGGAGGCAGAGUUAGGGACCUGACCCAGUCUGGGGUGCGCCAGGCUACCUCUUCCUUGCCCUGGAGUUCCCAGGGGCAGGUGCACCCAGCCUCGUUGUCCACACGGCAGGGCAGGAUGGAGAAUCUGAUGCCUCCUCCCAAGCUGGCCCCCCGGGCUGCCUCCUUCCUCCAACAGGGUACACGGGGGGCAGCUGGGUAACUGGCCUCCCUCAGCAACCUCCUCAUCUGCCCAUGACAUUCGCACCCCAAGGUGAUCUGAACACCCCCAUCCCUGCCAGGGCUGCUCUGUCCCAGGACACCCUGCAAUGCAGACCGGGGGAGCCCUGAGGAGCACAGUAGACCCUGAAGGCCAGGCUGGAUUCAGGGGGACGCAGUGAGGUGCUAGAGAAAGGGGCUGAAUGGCUUUAGAGGAAGGAAGGAGGUGCCAGGGGACCCUAGAGCUUUUGGGGUCCCCUGGAAGAGUUUGUGGGCUGGCAGCUGCGUAAAGCGGAGGGUUUCCUAGUGAGGUGCUGGCAGCAUCUCUGACCAUCCUCUCUUGGGCCCAACACUCUCUGCAGGGGUGAGGGACAUCCCCCAUCCUGCCACGCCUCUCUCCUGGAGGGUGGAUUUCAAGGCCUCAAACACUACCUGCAGCUCCCCAAACUCUCCCCCUCUCUCACAGCUCUCUCCAUCUGCCCCACGCCCCAGUCCCCAGAGCCAACGCCCAGACAGACAGGCACUUGCCCCUUCUGGGUGGCACCUACUGCGCGCCGGCCGUGGUGAGGCCCUUCAGAGCCCGGCCUGCGAGGAGCACGGCUCUGCGGUCAGGCCUGGGUUCUAUCCGGCCCCUCCACCCGUCAGCUGAGCGACACAGCAAGUCAAUAAUUACAGUUUCCUCAUCCAUGAAAGGGAGACGGACCCGCUCUGUGGGUCAGGACCCUAGAAGCAAAUGUCCUCUGAUGUAUCCCGAGUGCACACAGUAGGUGCUCAAGAACUAAUGUCCUAAGGGAUGAUGUGUGUAAAGCUCUCAGCACACAGUAAUACUGAUCAAAUGAUGGUUUAAAAGAUUUUGUCUCGUGAAACUGUGCAGGGACUAGGGAAGGGAAAAAAAUCACAGGCUGACACCCUGGACAGGCCACCCCCCACACCACCCCCUCACCAUGCCCCCACACUGGCAUGCCCCACCCCUCUCUCCUGCAAGGGGAUCCCUAGCCAGUUUUCCUUCAUCCCCUGGAUCCUACUUAGCUGCUCCCAGCAGCCCAGAGACCCAGCGCCAACUCACCCAAGUGUGCCCAGCCUGGCAGCAGCAGGGGCUACAGAAGCCAGAGCCCAGGAGGGGAGGAAAGGGAGCAGGCCUGCCUCUGGUUCCCUGGGUGACCGUGGCAGGUCCACGCUCCCUCUGGCCUUCAGUGUCUCCAUCCCUCAAUUAAGGUGCUUGGACCACACUGUCCUGGGGCUGCCUGAUGGGGAAUGAGGUGGGGCAGCGGGGGCGAGCAGAGAGGUCUCAGAAGCCUCCCCCCACCCACACCCCCGCCCCACCUCCAGCCAGAGCCUUGGCCUUCAUCUGCUCCAUGGACCGGGCUCCCAGGGAAGGUUUAUUUGGUGUUCUGAAGACAGGUUCUGUUGCUUUAAAAAGAUCUGAAACCCACUAGGCUAGAUGUCCUUGAACUGCCUGGCAGCCUUUACUUCCUGGGCUCUGAGCCUCCACAAUUCUAAAUUCUGAGAUUCUCAGAACCCCAGAUCCUGGUCUCCUGAAACUCCAGAAUUCGAAGUCGUGGAUUCUAAGAUGUACUGGGACUCACGUCGCCCACUGCAACACAUCCCUCGUAAACACACAGCUGGACCUUGGAGGCCUGGGAGAGGGUGGGGGCAGGAGGGAGGUCUUCUGUGAGUCACGGGCCCAGGAGGACUCCUCAGGGGACCUACAGCAACAGGGUCCAGGGCAAGCUGAGACCAAGAGAGGGUGGCGCCCGGAAACAGCCAUGGCUCAGGGUCCUCGGUUUGAAGGGGAGUGAGCACCACCACCCCUGCCAGGGUCAACACCCAGGGCAGGGCAGACAGGUUGGCAGAAGGUCUGCAGGGGGCUGGGGACUCAAAGUCAGGCCACUUCCACACCCUCCCCACUGGAGCAGCCCCGCAGGCACAGGAGGGCGGUGCCCACUUCCAGCACAGCUCCUUGGCAGCGGGCACCGAGCGCCCUUCCCUGGAUAGUGGCAGCAGGCACCAGCCAGACCUGGGCCCCAGCCAAGCCGCUCUGGGGCAGCCCCAUCUGCAGAGUCUCUGGCUUCCCACCGCCCGGCUUGGGUCCAUCCACAGGCCUGAUGCCCAGGCUGGCAGCCCUCCACACACCCGCCAGGCGGCUGCCCUACCAGUUCCCAGCCACCGCUCCUCUCUGCCCACCAGGCCUCUGAGGGUCAGGAGCCACAGGUGGGCCAGGGCACCAGCGUCACUCACCCCUUCCGGAUGAUGAUAACGAUGGCCCUGCACUCUGGGAGGCAGAAGUGCCUUUGCCUUGCUCUCCAGCUGUUUCUUUCAGGCUUUAAAGUCGCAGGGAGUCACCUGAGUGUCCUGGUCACCAGCCGGUUGCAAACACCAGCCAAGGCCCCGCUCAGCCUCCAUCCACUUUCCAGGCUGACGUCAGGCCUCCCUCCGCCCUGAGACUCCCCAGGAGACGAGAGCGAUCAACAUUAGCCAGGAGCAAAGCGCAUCUUUAUCUGGGAUGACCCCCAUCAUGCAGGACCAUCCAGGAGAAGAGCCAGGAAUCAGCAAGCCCUCCAUCUCUGCGGGGCGUCUGAGGGGAGAUCCUCUGCAUGGCCUGGCCAGGCACCGCUCCCGGCUGGCUGUUCUCUAGUGAUGUCAUGACAGUCACCAUCAGAUACUCUGGGCCUCAGAGGAGGUGACCCUGGGCUCCCCGCCUGCCCGGGAUCAUGGAAGUCCUCCUUCAGACCCCUGAGCCCUGAGUGGGAGACUGAGGGACAGCAAGGCUGAGCUGGCCUGUGUCGGGGGCUCUGGGUCACAGGAGGGGCCUCAUCCCUCCUGCCUCUGAGGGGUUCACUGUGGCCCUUGCCAGACUCAGCAGCACUGUCAGUUCCAUAUGCUGGCCCUCACUGAUCCAGAACUCCUGGUCGGGGGAUGAUCUGAAGAAUGAAGGAUGCCAUCACCUAGGGGCCCUGGGAGGCUCGGGCCUUUCCCCAGAAGACCCCAAUUCCAUCUCAGUGUGGAGGGAAAAGGGUCUGAGGAGCAAUCAGUCCGAGGGGAGUGCGGCACAGCCCAACUUUCGCUGUGGAAGUCCCCUGGCCCGUGAUAUGUAAGGAAGUGAGGACCUGCAGAUGAGCCCAGCUUCCACCCAGCACCUGCUCACUGGCCUUGCUGACUUCGGGCUCACUCCCCUCCCCAUCUAAUCCCUGCCAUGCCUCAGAGUAACCCUGAAAACCUCCUCAGGGAUUGGAAGCUCCUCAGGCCUCUGCAUUUGGCUCAGUCACUGCUGUUUCCCGAGAACAGGGCGGUGCCCGACGCCUCAGCCAGCAUUUCCUGAGCACGGACUGUGUGCUGUGUGCUGGGGACUGCGCUCAGCCCUUUACUAGCAUACAUCAAUUAACCUUCGAAGUCAUCUUCAAGGACAUACUGGAGACAGGACAGCAUCGGGGCUGGGAGCACGCGCUUGAAGGUCAGGCUGGCUGGAUUUGAACCCGGCUCCGCAUUUACCAGCUGGGUAGAUCUUUAUCGGGUUAUGUGCCUCAGUUUCCUCAUAUAAGAUGGAGCGAGUAAUGACAGCACCUACCUCAUGGGGCUGUUCUGAGGAUUAGAGUGAAUUUAUAUAAAGAGCUUAAAACAAUGCCUGGCACAGAGUAAGCAUGGCUGUUAGUGUGAUCCACAACUUGAAGAAACCAAGAAGGAGGGAAAGCCACCCACCCCGGGUCUCAGCAAUGAGGUGGUAGGGUUAGAAUGUGACUCCAGGAUGUGCCUCACCCCAAAGUACUCUGCUCAGCUAAGCCUCAGGGCCUUUGACCUCUUGAGCCUCAGUUUCCCCAUCUGUAAGCUGAAGGGGCUGGAGUGGAUGUUGCCUAGGGUUUCAGUGCUAACACGCUUUGCCUCCAUGAUGCUCGGUGGAGAGUCCAGACUUCCAGCAGGCUUCAAAAGCCAUGGGCUCCCCCAUUCAAACCAGGGUCCGAUUUACAGCCCCUGGAUGACAGGCUCGAUUUCUGGUGGGCGGUGAUGGCAGGUUGGCCUGAAGUGAGGUGGGCUGAACUUAGCAGACGAGGCUUUCGGGGAGGGGCUGCACGGGGACCCGCAGCAUGAAGAGACAGGACCGUUGGGCCCCCCUUGGCACCUGCCACAGCAAGUCACAGGCAGAAGGGGCAGGAACACCGUCUGCAUCUGCAGGAGCCAGCCGGCAGCACCUCCUUCCAAGCCGGAGCCUGCUGCGCGGACGCUGCUGUCUACAGAGGCCCCUGGGGAGGGGUGGACGUCCCGCGCUGAGAGGGCUAGAAAACGGAUUCUGAUGGGGGGGCACCUACUGUCUGCCUGACGCCUUCUACAGCCUGUCCCACUUUUACCUCUGCAGAUGGAGUUGUUCCUUCCCAAAUCCAGCCGCCCUUCACUUCCUCCCUGAACCUAAUUCAGGUCCCCCCAUGGCAUCUGUCAUCCAGUAUCUCAGCAGCCUCCUCGCUGAGUGCCUGUUGCAGUCCCUGCAGAUCAUAGCAGACGGGGGAGAUCUCCCUGAGACCCACGUCGGGUGGUGCCCCCUUAUCCCUCCCUGGAUCCUGUAACGGCUUCUCCUUGCCCUCCUCCACUGGCCUGCAAAGACCUCCGUGGUCUAUUUCCUCACCUCCCUCCACAGCCCCUGGCCUCCCUGCUGCUCUGGGAACAUGUCAGACUCAUCCCCACCAUGGGGCUCUGUCACUUGAUAUUCCCUCUGCUGGGGAAGCUCAGAGCUUGACCUCUCUGGCCCCGUUUUUGUGUCUUUUUGGUCUCAGCCUAGAUGUCACCACCUCAUAGAGGCCUUUUCUGAACUUCUCCUGCUGGAGUCCCCCCUCCCUGAAAUCCCUGUGCCCUUAGGGCAUCUCAUCUUUUCCUUUUCAGGCUCUGAGCUGUGCACCGAGGACACAGCAGAGAGCUGGACCUGUUCCUGUCCUCGGGCCCUUUGGGAGUCUAUUGAUAAGGUGGAAGGAUGGGGACAAAUAUUAGUCGAGGACUAACACACACAUAAAUAUACAAAUGCAACUGAUGGUGCCACACGGGAAGCACAUGGGUUGCCAUGGAAACAUGUAAGGAGGGGGCUGACCUACUGUGGGAGUUAGGGAGGGCCUCUCUGUUUCUGUCUGAGUGACAUUAAAAUAUCUAAAGGAUGGGGCUUCCAUUUCCCCCAAGGUGGAGUGGCCUAAGUCCUCCCAGGUCUUCCUCCUUACAACUGAAAAAUCCUGAACAUAAAACAACAACAAGCGUGGAUGACUCUGAAAGAUGGAGAGGAGCUUGAAGAAUGGUGUGGCCGUGGGUUUCCUGGGUUUCCUUACUGCCCCCCGUACACCCUGACAGGGCACUGCAAAAGCCUCCAACCCAGAGCCAGUAACAGACACAGGCUAAAAAAGCUCCAAGAAAAACCUGUCACUCCAGCCAAAGGACUUGGAAAAGGGUGACCUAAUAACAGAAAACUUGUCAAAGUCUGCCUUCCUCCAGCCAAUAGCAACAGAAAAACUGCUCUCCCCCCUGCUCCCUCUGCCCUGCAUUUUCAGUAGAUGGAGCAGGAAGCUGAGGUUCCACCCUACCUCACCUUCACCCUAUGUGAACAGGCACAGAUGCUCUCAUUCCCCUGCCAGGGCGUGUCGGAUGCGUCUAGGCAGGAGCUAAGCCUCCACUCUCAUCCGGCAGCAACGAGACUUAAGUGGUGAUGGAAGGUGGGGCUAUUCACACUCAAUGCUCCCGUCCACUGUCCAAUUAUCAGUGGGUCCCAAAGAGAAACUGAGUCUCCAGCCCCACCUGGUCUCAGUGAGGUAGGAUGAAGUGGGGGAAGGCAGGACUGGCUGGCGUUCCUCUUACCUCCCUCUUUCCCCUCACCCUUCCCUUGGUGUUAGCAGGGCUCAGUGGGAAGCUCAGCUUCUGCAGCAACAAAGUGGUGAGUCAGCCCUCAGCAUCCUCGUCCCCAGUGUCAGUAGAGCACAGUGGGAAGCUGAGCUUAACAUCCCCAUUCAGAAGCAACCAGGGAGUAGAGUUGGUGACCUGUUUUUGCAGGCAUGUCAGGGGGGAGCUGAGCAUACACACCCAUCUGGCCUCUUGCUAUGACUUCUGGCCAAAAAAGAAAGAAAAGAUUAAAUAGAAUCCAGAGUCUUACAAUAUCCGAAAUGUCCAGGAUGCAAUAAAAAAAGAAUCACUCAUCAUACCAUGAACCAGGAAAAUCACAACUUGAAUGAGAAAGAUAAUCAACAG